rnacentral:rRNA from 1 species
UACAGAGGGGGCAAGCGUUGUUCGGAAUUACUGGGCGUAAAGGGCGCGUAGACGGCCAACUAAGUCAGACGUGAAAUCCCCUGGCUCAACCAGGGAACUGCGUCUGAUACUGGAUGGCUUGAAUCCGGGAGAGGGAUGUGGAAUUCCAGGUGUAGCGGUGAAAUGCGUAGAUAUCUGGAGGAACACCGGUGGCGAAGGCGGCAUCCUGGACCGGUAUUGACGCUGAGGCGCGAAAGCCAGGGGAGCAAACGGG